AGCAGGAUGUAGCAAUAGGUAGCUUUCAAGAUUCAUUAUCUUUGAGGUUGAGGGUUCGAAUCCCUCUCCUGCACCCA
rnacentral:tRNA from 1 species